UACGGAGGGUCCAAGCGUUGUCCGGAAUCACUGGGUGUAAAGGGUGCGCAGGCGGGCUUAUAAGUCAGGGGUGAAAGCCACCGGCUCAACCGGUGAACUGCCCUUGAUACUGUAAGUCUUGAGUCCUGGAGGGGCUGUCGGAAUUCGUGGUGUAGCGGUGAAAUGCGUAGAUAUCACGAGGAACACCGGAGGUGUAAACGGACAGCUGGACAGGUACUGACGCUCAGGCACGAAAGCGUGGGGAGCGAACAGG
rnacentral:rRNA from 1 species